UACGGGGGGGCAAGCGUUGUUCGGAAUUACUGGGCGUAAAGGGCUCGUAGGUGGCCAACUAAGUCAGACGUGAAAUCCCUCGGCUUAACCGGGGAACUGCGUCUGAUACUGGAUGGCUUGAGUUUGGGAGAGGGACGCGGAAUUCCAGGUGUAGCGGUGAAAUGCGUAGAUAUCUGGAGGAACACCGGUGGCGAAGGCGGCGUCCUGGACCAACACUGACACUGAUGAGCGAAAGCCAGGGGAGCAAAACGGG
rnacentral:rRNA from 1 species